AAGGGAGGUACAUUACUAAGCUUGGUGUUCCAGGAAGGAGCUGAGAAGGGAAGGUCAGGGAGAGCAAGCCAUCCAGAUGGCAAGGCCAGUGCCACAGAAGAAGGGGAGAGGCAGGAGUGAAUGCUACUAGGGUCAGGCAAAGAAGGUCACUCACAGCUUUUGGGCAGAAGAGAAAGCUUGAGUGAGAGCAGUCCCUAGAAGCCAAGCCAUAAGAGCAAUUCCAUGAUGGCCUCAACAUUUUAGAAGAAAGAAGUUCUGUACGGGGGUCUAGCAUCAUUCAUCUCUUCAAUUCUCAAAAAGUAUUUAGGUGGCUACUGUGCCAGGCACCAUGUUAGAAAUAAACAACAUACAACUCCUUUGAGUAGGAGAAAUAAAGCUGCAAGCCAGUAUCUAUACGGAAAUAAAAGGCUGGAACCAGUCCCCCUGAGAAUGGGAUGAGAAGAGAAGUCCUCAUAGAAGUCACAGAAAUAAGACAGAGCUGACAUGUUCACUGUGGUCUCUGCCCACCACCCCAGCCCAAUACCUUGACCACACAUGAUUACUUAAUGAGGUGUCAAACAUCCUAGUUUGUCCAGGACAGUUCAAGAUUGUACUUGAUAUUCAGGCAAUAUGAUUAAUCCAGUUCCUUUCACUCUCAAAACUGGCCCAGUUUGAAUGAUAAAAUGGAAGUUGACCUUACCAAUCAACCGCAGCCUUCUUUCCCACUGAGCCCAGGUGCAACCUCAAAAUCCUUUUCUACACAGCCUUCUUUCUAGGCAACAGCUAUCAAUCAAUCAGGUAUUGAAAUCAACUUGCCACCUUUUUGAAAGAAGAAAGAACAUAGGUCUAAUAUUAGCUGGGCAAACACAGGCAUGCAAUUUGACCUCUCAAGCCUCCAUUUCUUCAUUUGACAACUGAAAAAAUAGCAUUGCCUACUCACAGAGCUAGUGUGAGCUUCAGGUGAGGUAGCACAUGGAAAAAUGCUAUACAAAUGGCAGUGUUUUUAGAAUUACUCAAAGGACAGAAACAGCUGGCAUGGUAGCGCCUCAGGGGUCUUGGCACCAUCCUCCCCCCUACCCCAGUAGGAGACCAUGAGCCUCCUUGUGAAGGAGGCUGUGGUAGCCAGCAGCUCCUUCUGAAGUUUAGGCCUCUCUUCCCCUAAUCCUCUCUUCAUUUGGAGACAAACAACAAACCCCUCUGGCACCCCCACCCCUCAGAUCAACUCCAUCAAGAAGCGAGGCUUCUCUUUGUACUACAGCAAACACACGUCUCUUAUUGACG
rnacentral:lncRNA from 10 species